CAUACCCGUACCGUAAACCGACACAGGUGGAUGGGGAGAGAAUCCCAAGGCCGGCGGGAGAAGCAUUGUCAAGGAACUCGGCAAAAUGGCCCCGUAACUUAGGGAAAAGGGGUGCCAUCGAAGGAUGGCCGCAGAGAAUAGGCUCAAGCAACUGUUUAGCAAAAACACAGGUCUAUGCGAAACCGAAAGGUGAGGUAUAUGGGCUGACGCCUGCCCGGUGCUGGAAGGUUAAGAGGAGAGGUCAGGAAACGAAGCCUUGAAUUGAAGCCCCAGUAAACGGCGGCCGUAACUAUAACGGUCCUAAGGUAGCGAAAUUCCUUGUCGGGUAAGUUCCGACCCGCACGAAAGGCGUAAUGAUUUGAGCGCUGUCUCGACAAUGCACCCGGUGAAAUUGAAGUGCCAGUGAAGAUGCUGGCUACCUGCGCCAGGACGGAAAGACCCCAUGGAGCUUUACUCCAGUUUGAUACUGGGAUCCGGUGCUGUAUGUACAGGAUAGGUGGGAGGCUAAGAGCCACAGACGCCAGUCUGUGAGGAGCCGCUGUUGGGAUACCACCCUUAUAGUACUGGGUUUCUAACCUGCGCCCGUAAGCCGGGCGGGGGACAAUGUCUGACGGGGAGUUUGACUGGGGCGGUCGCCUCCGAAAGGGUAUCGGAGGCGCUCAAAGGUUCCCUCAGAAUGGACGGAAACCAUUCGUAGAGCGCAAAGGCAGAAGGGAGCCUGACUGUGACACCGACGGGUGGAGCAGGUACGAAAGUAGGACUUAGUGAUCCGGUGGCAUAAAGUGGGAUUGCCAUCGCUCAACGGAUAAAAGCUACCCUGGGGAUAACAGGCUGAUCACUCCCAAGAGUUCACAUCGACGGAGUGGUUUGGCACCUCGAUGUCGGCUCAUCGCAUCCUGGGGCUGUAGCAGGUCCCAAGGGUUGGGCUGUUCGCCCAUUAAAGCGGUACGCGAGCUGGGUUCAGAACGUCGUGAGACAGUUCGGUCCCUAUCCGGCGUGGGCGCAGGAUAUCUGAGAGGAGCUGUCCUUAGUACGAGAGGACCGGGAUGGACGAACCGCUGGUGUACCUGUUGGCGACCAACGCCAUGGCAGGGUAGCCAAGUCCGGCAGGGAUAAACGCUGAAGGCAUCUAAGCGUGAAGCCCCCCUCAAGAUGAGAUAUCCCCCACACAAGUGGAUAAGACCCCUUGAAGACGACAAGGUAGAUAGGGUAUAGGUGUAAGUGCAGCAAUGCAUUGAGCUGAAUACUACUAAUCGGUCGAAGGCUUAUCCUG
rnacentral:rRNA from 1 species